rnacentral:rRNA from 1 species
UACAGAGGGGGCAAGCGUUGUUCGGAAUUACUGGGCGUAAAGGGCGCGUAGGCGGCCUGUUAAGUCGAACGUGAAAUCCCCGGGCUCAACCUGGGAACUGCAUUUGUGACUGCAUGGCUAGAGUACGGUAGAGGGGGAUGGAAUUCCGCGUGGUAGCAGUGAAAUGCGUAGAUAUGCGGAGGAACACCGAUGGCGAAGGCAAUCCCCUGGGUCAACACUGACGCUCAGUGCACGAAAGCGUGGGGAGCAAACAGG